rnacentral:lncRNA from 1 species
AAAAACUGAGAAGAAACUGGAGGUCCAGCUUGCAUAGCAAUGUAGCCAGACCUCAGCCUCAUCACAUUAUGGAUUGCAUUCUUACCCAAAUACUCUUCGUGAUUGCCUGCUUUGCGGCUUUGGGGAUCAAGAGUGUGUGAAAGUGUGCAUUGCAAACGAGGCUCCCAUCAAGAAAGCCACCUCUGGAAUGGAAAUGACAAAGCUUGGAACACACACAAUCAAUUAUUUUCACUAGCAUUUAAAAUAUAGAAAACAAAAUCUGCUUUGGGAAUUGACUGAAUAUUUUAUUUAGCUUUUUUAUUGAGACAUCCUUUGAAAAAUGGCAUAAUAUAAAUAGUUUUACAAAGCAACAAUAUAAUCAAUCUCUAAACUAGAAUAUAAAUCAAGGAUUUCAUUAACUGCUAGUAGCCAGUUUAAAUUGUAGUCUUGUCCAUAAUGUCUAUCUAUCUAUGUAUGUCCAAGUUAUAUUAAAAACCUUUAAAUGGCUUUGUAAUAUCAGCUACAUCUAGCUAUUAUAAUAAUUAAUGGUACUGUUUUAUAAAUCAAUACAUGUAUUCUUGAUAAAUUCAUAUCCAGUUAAUGGUGUAAUUUAAAUAAAAAAUUAAUGUAAUAAAGGACA